rnacentral:rRNA from 1 species
GGAUAACAUACCGAAAGGUAUGCUAAUACGGGAUAAUAUAUUUGAGAGGCAUCUCUUAAAUAUCAAAGGUGAGCCAGUACAGGAUGGACCCGCGUCUGAUUAGCUAGUUGGUAAGGUAACGGCUUACCAAGGCGACGAUCAGUAGCCGACCUGAGAGGGUGAUCGGCCACAUUGGAACUGAGACACGGUCCAAACUCCUACGGGAGGCAGCAGUGGGGAAUAUUGCACAAUGGGCGAAAGCCUGAUGCGGCAACGCCGCGUGAGUGAUGAAGGCCUUCGGGUCGUAAAACCCUGUCCUCAAGGAAGAUAAUGACGGUACUUGAGGAGGAAGCCCCGGCUAACUACGUGCCAGCAGCCGCGGUAAUACGUAGGGGGCUAGCGUUAUCCGGAUUUACUGGGCGUAAAGGGUGCGUAGGCGGUCUUUCAAGUCAGGAGUGAAAGGCUACGGCUCAACCGUAGUAAGCUCUUGAAACUGGGAGACUUGAGUGCAGGAGAGGAGAGUGGAAUUCCUAGUGUAGCGGUGAAAUGCGUAGAUAUUAGGAGGAACACCAGUUGCGAAGGCGGCUCUCUGGACUGUAACUGACGCUGAGGCACGAAAGCGUGGGGAGCAAACAGGAUUAGAUACCCUGGUAGUCCACGCUGUAAACGAUGAAUAGUAGGUGUCGGGGGUUACCCCCUUCGGUGCCGCA